UGAACGCUAGCGGCAGGCUUAACACAUGCAAGUCGAGGGGUAUCACGCUUUCGGGCGUGAGAGACCGGCGCACGGGUGCGUAACGCGUAUGCAAUCUACCUUUUGCAGAGGGAUAGCCCAGAGAAAUUUGGAUUAAUACCUCAUAGUAUAGAACAAUCGCAUGAUUGAACUAUUAAAGUCACAACGGCAAAAGAUGAGCAUGCGUCCCAUUAGUUAGUUGGUAAGGUAACGGCUUACCAAGACUACGAUGGGUAGGGGUCCUGAGAGGGAGAUCCCCCACACUGGUACUGAGACACGGACCAGACUCCUACGGGAGGCAGCAGUGAGGAAUAUUGGACAAUGGGCGCAAGCCUGAUCCAGCCAUGCCGCGUGCAGGAUGACGGUCCUAUGGAUUGUAAACUGCUUUUGUACAGGAAGAAACACCUCUACGUGUAGAGACUUGACGGUACUGUAAGAAUAAGGAUCGGCUAACUCCGUG
rnacentral:rRNA from 1 species